GUAGCCAUCAAAAAAAUGAUAUGAUGGGGAAAAAGUCAGUCACUCACCCACAGUGAUGUAGAAUACACAAGUAAACAUACUUUAAAGUACUACAUAAGUCGUUUUUGGGGGUAUCUGUACUUUACUUUACUAUUGACAACUUUUACUGCACUACAUUCCUAAAGAAAAUAAUGUACUUUUUGCUCCAUACAUUUUCCCUGACACCCAAAGUUACUCAUUACAUUUUGAAUGCUUUGCAGAACAGGAAAAGGAUCCAAUUCACACAUUAAGCUCACCCCACGAGAAGCAUUGCAUGAUCAACGCCACCCUCAGCAAGGAGAUCUGCUGGAAGUGAUGUCUCUCCCAUCCUUAGAUGUACUAUCUCUAGGCACGAGAGUUGAUGCCAGAUGUCGGGAUAGCAGAAAAAUGGCACUGAAUUUACCAGAAAACGAAGCUCCACACAACAAGGGGGGUAAGAAAUAAUUGAAACAUUACAUAUAUAAAUUCCCACUGUGCCCAUGAUAAAAU
rnacentral:lncRNA from 13 species